UUCCAUUUUAACCACUGAUCUUAAAUACGAAUACGAUACAGCUUUUACCCCUCAUUGCACAACACCACACAACAUCGACAUUUUGCAAUAGCCUGCGAGCAGGCUCAUCCCCACCAAAAUCGGAACUUCUCGUAAACGGUUCGGAGUCAAACUGCAAAAAAGUUUCGGCUAUCUUUAAAAUGGCUAUCUUUGCGGGAUGAUAGUUGCCUGCCUUACGUCACAGAUUUAUUCUCAGUGAUUGGCUGACUUUGGCGAUUCGCCCAAGCAACGCCCACGUCAACCCAAUGUCAAAAAAUUUUUACUUCUGAUACACUACAAAUAAAACCAGGAGAGAACUGAUCUUGAUUCUUACCUUUUUAAAAAGAUGAGGCAACACCAUGGUUGGUAGGGUCUUCGAGAGAAUGGAUAUCAAGAAAUGGAGGAUACCAAAUAAACUAUUUUUCGUUGUAAACCGGCCGGAUAUCGCGGGCUUGGCCGAAUGUGAAUCGUAUUUUGACGAUUGCCGACAACAUGCCGCAAAAAUGCGAUAAACGAAGCGGGGGUGACAUGGCGAAAAAAGAAUAAUCCAGGUGCAGGGGUUUGUUUAUUUGUUCUUUGAGACUUUUAUUAUGUUUUUAAUUAGUUUUGAUUAGAAAAUUAUAGCGCGAUUAUAGAGAAGUGGAGAAUAAUAUAGAGCGAUUAGAAAACCGAUCCUUAUUCGAUGGAUAGCGCUCUCCAGCAUUUUGUUUUGUACAGGGCGCUUAUAUAGUAUAUAAGCGCCCUGGUUUUGUACAACCGACCACAUCAGAAUAAUUUUUUAUUUGUCCAAUAGGAUUAGUGAUUCGUUAUCAUGUGACAGUAUUUUUAACAUGCGACAGAUGUGAGACGAGUUUGGGCGCGCCGGCUGCCGGUGCGAGCCGCGAGCGAGGCAUUUUCAAAAUUUCGUUGUGGUAUUACUGCUUGAGAACAAGAAUUACUGUAAAAAGUUCAAUAAAUUCAUUAAAUUCAGGUUUUUAAAACUGGGUAGCCUGGCAAAGAAAAGAGACUUAUAGCAAGCAAAAUUAAUAAAUCGCUUGCUGAAAGCUAUAUUCAAGACCGAAAAAGUCAAGUGCAUUGAAGUGCCAAAGAUCAUCACUACUUCGACCUAGCCCCAUAAACUCUGGGUAACCUGGCAAAGAAAAGAGGCUUAUAGCAAGCAAAAUUAAUAAAUCGCUUGUCAAGGCUAUAUUCAAGACUGAAAAAGUCAAGUGCAUUGAAGUUCCAAAAAUCAUUACUACCUCUACCUAGCCUCAUUAAAGAUUACUGUUCAAAUGUGACAAGGCCAAAAACGAAAGCAGAUCCUCAUGAUGAGCAACUGUGGAUCAAUCAACACAAAUCACCCUUGGCAAACGGAAAGAUAAGUGCAUUUAAGCAUAUUUCAUGAUAUGGUUUUCUUAUGGUCAACUUAAGGUCCUCUGUUUCUGCUUGUUGAUAUCACUUUUCGAUUUGCUAACCGCGGUAGCGUUCAUUUAUUCGGCAGCGUUCAUUUUUUCGGUAGCGUUCAUUUUUUCCCUAGCGUUCAUUUUUUCGGCAGCGUUCAUUUU